AGACCUGGAGAUGGAAAAGAGAAAAAGGUCUAUAGUCACAUCAAUAAGUAUUCGAUAACUUGUUGGCAUUUAACCAUCUACAGCAUCUUUUUCUUCAACACCUCUGCCUCCUUCGCGUUCUCUAAUUCCUCCGCCUCAUCUGCUGAUCCCCCACUUCUCUUUUUUCCAUCCUCGUCACCUCCCACUGACACCUUACUUUUCUCUCGUUCGUAUCAACCCCCCUCCCCCCUUACUUUCCAUAUCUUUACCUGUUUUCUCAAAUGAGAUUUCCUGCCUUGUUCAAAUUUCCUCCUUUUUGCGCUUUUUUGUUCUAAUUUUUAACUUCACCAAUUAAAUGAGCCAAUCCUAGGCUAGCGUGACCAAAAGAAAGCGGCAUGAAAGCGAGGGCCUAAUCCAUUUGUGCUCACCUGAAAUGCUGACAAGCGAUCCCAGAAUUCCACGGAUAAGGAGCUUGACGUCAACUUUUCGUGCCUUGGUAAAAUAGCUGCAGUUUUGGUAAUCAGUGUAUUAGCAUAAAUAAGGUCAAAAUUUUGUUGAAAAAUAAUCGGUUCAAUAAUGGACUAUAGCGGCGUAGCGAGCCCAAAAUUGUAGUAACAUGAUAAAUAAUAGCGUAGUCGCAGUCGACCCCUAAGCGUAUUUAAGGUCUUGAACGUUAAAGCACAAUCAUGUGCUUCAUGCUCAAAUUACACUGUCCUAGGCCCAGCUUUUUUAUCUUUGGCAGGGAAAAGUCUGCUGUAGGGAUCAUAAGAGAAGCUCGCGAAAAGACCGCUGGGUAUUUAGUGAUUUUUGACGAAGCACACCGUGCAAGCAGUGAAACGUGCUUAGCCGUGCUUAGGAAGCUGAGUAAUUACACCUAUAUAAACAGCAGGCAUUACCUGAGCAGUAUGGCCGUGGUUCCUCCCCCUACUGAUGCAUUUAUGGUCAUUACGGCCGCCCUGUAGGUAGAACAUUGUAAUUAGCUUAGUUCGAUGUAAUAAACUCGAAUUGAUAAUACAGACCCAUUGUCAAAAGAAAAAGUGUUUUUCGAUAUAAAGAAUGUGAGUAUUGAAUUUUCACAGUUAAAUACCCAUCAUGCAACACGUUACUGUAAAAACCACUCUCCCCCGUUUUGGUAUUAGAUUAUCCCUGUUUUUACGCGUUAUCCCCAUAGAGAUAGACAUGAAGGGGAUGUUUUCGAUUUUUUAUUCCUCAUAUUUUAGGGGUUAAAAGCUUAGUCCGUUUUUAGCUGAUAUGAUUUUUUCAAGCCGGAAAAAAACAAAUACUUAAACAAAAUGCUUUCCCCUUUUACGCAGCCAUCUCCAGACGUAGAGACGCGCAACUAUCUUUGUAUUCAGCUCUUUCGUUAUUUGAUGUCAGCACCAGUAAGCGAAACCACGUGUAAACGUAACACGUGUUUACGUGUGUUUGCAGUCUGAUUUAUAUCGACUUAAUGACCCUACAUCUAUUAUUUCACGGAGAUAAUUCACAGAUAAUUUCUUGUCGAUGAGAAGCUGUAUUUUAAUUAAACACACAAGACACAAGAAGCUUAAUAUAGAUAGCACGUGUAUUAUAUAACCACAAAAAAACAUCGUUCGGCGUUUGUGUUACAUUAGUAAUUUGACCGCCCUCGUAUUCUUUCACGUUGACAAUAACAGGAAGAUAGCAUUUACUGGAAAGCAAAAAAUUGAAUCGCCGAGAAACGUGCCCAUAAAACCGCAUCACAAGUGCACAAGUGAACGUUAAUUCUUUGUCGUACACGUGACAGGAGUUUUCAGUUUUUUUUUUCUUUUCCUUAACUCUCACUCUUUUAUCUUUAUCAAAAACAGAAUGAUGAUUCUAGCAUCAAUCGUCAUCAUCAUCAUCAUCCCAUGCAAAGAAGCCAAGAAAUAAGACACAGAAUAAUAACACAGAAUGUAAAUGUUUUCCAAAACAGUUGCAUUGGUAGUUACCCAAUAGAAUAGAAUAGUAAUUGUUUCUAUUACAGUAACACAUCACAAUCCGAAAGUUUUUUUUUUUAUAAUAUACGAUAAGCUUCACCUGAUUUAAGUCAAAAUGUAUGAAUUUGUUAUUCGUCAAUGACAAUGGCUUAAACAAAGAUUUUUUUAACUUCAGUGCGGGGAUUUUAAGAUGCAGUGAUAUUAAGAUGUGAGACAACGCCCUACGUCGACUGGAAAAAAAGCGCCUAGAAUCAGCGGCGUAGCCAGGAUUUUUAACAGGAGGGGGCCCAAAAGGUCCAUUCAAUGCAUUUUCACCUGUGUUUUUGAUAAUGUCUCAUAUAUUUACUGUAUUUUUGACUGCUAGAAGGGGGGGUCCAAGGCCACCCCCCUGGCUAUGCCCCUGAGAAUGGUCGAGAAAAGUUGUGAAGUUAUGAAAGAAAGUUAUAGUUGUGAAAGAAAAAUAUGCAUUUAGUUAACGAGUGAGUGAAAAAAUAUUUUUCUCUUGAAUAUGAGACAGUGUAUAUAACAUGUAUAAAAUAUGGCAUGUUAGAAUUAAAUGCCGACAGCAAUGAAACAUAGAAUGAUCUAAACAGAGUACGAUAGAAAUUGAAGAAAUUUUAAAAAUUAGUUUUGUUUCCUUUAAAAGCGACUAAAAUGCUACAUUCCCUGGUUUUGACACCAACGUUUAAUAGAAUGAAACCGUAGGGGCUUUUCUGUUAGAAAUAGUAUUUUAGGGGUUUGCAGAAAGAGGCGCUACGAACCAAAAAAUUUUGUUUUAGAUUUUUUAGACUUCUUAACAAAACACUUUGACAAUUUGUCAUUCGAGACAACAGGAUACUUAAAUCUAUGUUUUAUGGGUAAUUUUUUGCUUUUGGGCUAUUUUUAGGGCAGCAAUUUCUAGCGUGUAUUGUUUUUUAGGGGCAAUUUUUGUAUUUCCCGACGAGCCUCUCAAUCACUUUUACCCUAAAGAUCACCCCUCCCCCACUCAGGGAGAUGAGCUGUCGUAAAUUACCCAAAUCGCUACAUCCUACUUAAAUCUAUGUUUUAUGGGUAAUUUUUUGCUUUUGGGCUAUUUUUAGGGCAGCAAUUUCUAGCGUGUAUUGUUUUUUAGGGGCAAUUUUUGUAUUUCCCGACGAGCCUCUCAAUCACUUUUACCCUAAAGAUCACCCCUCCCCCACUCAGGGAGAUGAGCUGUCGUAAAUUACCCAAAUCGCUACAUCCUGCACACUUGGGGAAGUGGAAUAGGACGUAAAGGCGAAUUAGCACGUGACCUAACAAGAGCAUGAUAAAAUCCUUGAGGUAUUGCAUAAUUAACUGGUAGAUAUCUGACCUAUGAUUAGUAGCGACGCGACGUCUAUUUGCUGCUAGGUAUUGUUUAACAUUACACGAUAAAUGCCAAGUCCAAUGCCUUUAGGGAUGACAUGAUAUCAGAUAUAACUUACCAAAGCUAGGCGUACGCCCGUGAUACAUAUAUUAAAGAGAGGAAAAACUAUAAUUAUCUUACAAAAUAUCCGCGAUCUAUAAAAAAACCGUUGAAAAAAAAAGUUUUAAAAUUUACCACACGCAACCUGCAAACUUACGCCCUAAGGAUACAUAAUAAAGAGACGAAUUCUACUGUAGUUAUUUCACAAAGUAUCCGCUACCAAUAAAACAGGUAUUAACGCCGAGGGUAUGCCAUGAAUUCUCCAAAAUCACACAACGUCUAAGUGAAAAUAACGUGAGUAAAUAAGCACGAGUUCUUGGAGCACCUGUCAGGGUAUCCCGUAUUUUUUUUUUUUUUUUUUUUGUUCGAUAAAGAAAAUAAAUAUAUAAUAUUUAUUUUAUAUACUAUAUAUACUAUGUCAUGCAUUUCUGAUUUUGUCAUUACCGAGCACUCUAGACCUGGCCUGGCAGAACAUAUGUUUUUAUAUCUAUUAAAUAUUUUUUUCAAGUAAAACUUUUACAGCCUAUAACACAAGACCCUCAACAACCUCGUUCCAAUGUUUUCUGAGUAAUUUUUCAAAUUGGCGGCUAGACACUGGAAAAGGACCCUUUGAGUGAUAGAACGUGAAUAAAGACACAGAACAUGAAGUUUCGCCAAUCGCAAUUUGUAAAAAAAAAAAUAUUAUAUUGAAAUUACUGACCAAACGUCGAGGGAAACAAUAAUUUGCCAUAUUCAAUUUGCCACGGAUAGCAAUACAAUUUUUUGAAACGUUAUUUUGUUGUCUAUUUCAGCUGGUGUACAUGACCAAAUUAGAUUGUCGAACGUGGCAAUUGUCCUCUUCCGAAAUGCAGCAAUUAUGAGACACGCGUGUAAAUGUAAUUAUGUGUUUAAAGAGGAACUUUCCACUAAUUGUCUUUCUGCUGUUAACUAGGAGCAGUGUGAUCUUAGAAGUAGGGGAAAAACUUGUCUGGGUGUUUGCGAAUGCAGGCAUUGUAUCUUAUUUUUUAAAUAUUUUAAUUUAAUAAUAAUAAUAAUAAUAAUAAUAAUAAUAAUAAUAAUAAUAAUAAUAAUAAUAAUAAUAAUAAUAAUAAUAAUAAUAAUAAUAAUAUAGAUUUAUAUAGCGCCUUUCUCCUAUAGAUCCAAGGCGCUUUACAAUUUUAAUAUUAUGUUAAAAUAAUAAUUAAAAAUUCAUUACAAUAUAUGUCAAAUAGAUAAUAAAAAGACAAAAUAAAAAGUAAAAAAGUAAAAAAAAUUUGUUAUGAUACAUAACUAAGAUCUUGAGAAUCGAUCAUUAAGAAUCAAUUGUCGAAGACGCGUUUAAAAAAGAAGGUCUUGAUCUUUGAUUUAAACAUACUCAAUUCUUUACAAUUCCGGAGUUCUAGUGGGAGGGAGUUCCAUAUAGCUGGUGCACUCACGGAAAAGGCUCUUGAGCCGUAUGUCUUAAGUUUGAAAGAGGGCUGUACUAAAAGAGACUUAUUUGAAGAACGAAGACUGCGCUUUGGUUAAAAGGUCUUUUAUAUAGUCUGGAGCGGUUUCAUUUAGGGAUUUAAAAGUUAAAAGAAGGAGUUUAAAAUCUAUUCUUUCUCUGAUGGGUAGCCAGUGUAACAGGAGUGCAGAACAGGAGUGACGUGAUCGUAUUCGCGGGUUCCUGUAAGAAGUCGCGCCGCAGAAUGUUUUUAAUUUAAUGUUUAUUUUAAAUAAGCACCAAAAAGACAAUGAAAAAAAUAUUUUCCACUUCUCUCUAGCAAAAGCUUUAUUAACAAGCUUUAGUCUACGAAACAAAAGAAUGUAGAAAGGCAGGGGUUCACACAAAUGAUAGUGGCAAAGUAAACAUAUCUAUUCGUUAAAAACAGUACUCUUUGAAUUUACUGUUUCAGUUUACAGAUCGAGCUUUUCCUCCGGCUUUCUCUCACAUAAAAUCUUAAUUAUCACGGGGAUGUAAAUGGUACAAGAGAUAGAACUUUUAUCUUGGAAUUUUUUUAAUUAGGAUUGAACAGUACUAAAGAAAUUACCUAUUUACGUAGUUCGACGAAAACCAUUGGCCAAAAGCAAUGUAUUUUGAUAUGAUUUUCAAUAGGAUUUUAGUACAACUAUUAGAACCGUUUAGUCAAGAGUACUUUGAUUAUUGAAAACUUUGAUAAUGAUCUGUUUAGAAUUCAUAAUUGUGAGGACAGUACUUUUUUUCUGAAAAAAUGGAGGGGUCUCAAAGUGUAAAACAAAACAGUACAAAAUUCUCAAUCACAAAAAAACAGUUACCUCAAAACUAUUUCUUGCAUAUUUGAUUGCUUCAAGAUCAUGUUCCAUACUUUUUUAUAGAUUAUCAAAAGAAAUAAAAAUUGAAAUUUUACAGAAACUUAUUAAAAGCACCAGAAAUAGGGCAGAUGGUUUUUGAUUGUAAGGUAAAAAAUUGGAACGGUUACGGUUAUUAAUCCAGUUUAAUUUCGAUGUUUCUUCUGCGAGCAUAUUGUUACCACAGUGAGGCAUAAAUAUUACAAACUUUGGCUUUUUCUUCGCUUAAAGAGGGACGCGACAAAUUAUUUCAUGUUUUGUUGAAAUAACUUCCUAAAUGUCAUUGUGAAGAUUUUCAAAUUAAUACGUAGAAAGAUGUGAAAUGUAAUUAAGUGUAUGACAUUUUGUAUGACAUUUUGUAUGAUUUAUGAAGGAAGUAACCAUAUAAAUAUUUCUGUGUAUCGAAUUACACGAAUUCUUUAGAAUGAAAUGAAACUCAGCAUGGAGGUUUUCCGUUUACUAUUACUUAGAAUUCUUAAAUAACCUAAAAAAAGGAAUCAAGUUCCGAGAUAAUGAUACUGUUAUUCUUCACAAUCCAAAUAGCAUUAAAUCCCGCUAGGCAAGUUUUGCUAGAAAGGAUAUUUUGAUUUUCUUUUUAUCACACAGUAGAUAACCUAUCUCUCGAACCCCUGUUCUUCUGAUUAAUCGAACUCUCCGCUGUAGAAAAACUCAACUUUCCUUAGGAUGAGCUUUAUACUUAGAAAUGUAUCUAUGAGACUCGAACCUUUAAAUUGAACUCGAACCAUCUAGUUUCUUUUUCUACUGAAAACUGGAAAGGUGACAUAAGAGGCCAUGCCUCUUAUUUUUUGCUUUGACGAAGUGGUAAUACUUGAAACAAAUACUUUGUUUUCACAAAUGCGUACAACAUACCGUAUACAUGCGUAUACAGCCGUUGUGUCGAUUUAUUUCCUUUGUGCCUUAUUUUCCCGAAUCUCGCGACAUUCAACUCUUUAUAAUUAUUUUUGUCUGAUAUUAUCCAAAGUACCUUGAAUUUCCUUUGAUAGUUUGAGUCGGGGUCAACUGAUUCAUUUUAAAUGAACAGCUCUUAAAAUAUAACAGUUGUUAUGAUGACAGCUUUUGCCGUAUUCAUUUUGAAUAAUGUAUAAAUAAACAGAGACAUAAAAUAUGACUUUUGAAAUGAAAAAGAAUGUACAUUAAUUGAUUAUUUCAAAGUUUUACUAUUUUUACUAAAUGUGUUCCGGCUGUGUCAGUGUUGUUUUUUUCGGGAUAAUAUUCUCACUAGCAAAAAUGGUAUAAUCAAAAUUCGUUUCACACCACCAAAUCAUUAAUAAAUUGCCCAAGAAGAAAACCUUGGCCAUUUUGUAUUAAAUGAGCGCUGUGUCUCGCACGUCUCACUUCUUUGUUACUUAAGAUCUAUUAUCAGUACUUCACUUAGAACGCGGAAGUCGCGAAAGAACUCGAACAAGAGCCGCCUUUAAACAAAACAAUAAAUGGAUUUUUUGCAAGUCUUGCCUGUUAAAUAACAGGCGAGUUGAGACUUCCAUGUGUAUUAUUAGACUAGUGGUAAGUAAAUGGAAUUUUUGCAUGUCUUGCCUGUUACAUAACAGGCGAGUUGAGACUUCCAUGUGUAUUAUUAGACUAGAGGUUUUAAACCCUGGGAAAAGAGCGCGUUGCUGUCGGAAUAGUACUUUAUAUAGCCAUAUCAUUAUAGGGUCAGUAUCUAGAACAUAGCAUAUUGUUGGCUGCAUGAAGUCCCAACCUCUGAAAACAGCAAACGUUUGCUGACCCAUGGCAAUGCUGGCGCCGUUUCAAACGAUGUUUGGAGUUGCUGUGAAGUCUUUCAUCGAUAUUUCCAUUAGUACCAUUACCAUGCAGUGAACCGAACAUAGUUUAUAGUUAUAUAUAUAUAUAUAUUAUAUUCCAAGACGAUGCUCGCUGAUGCUUGCGUUGUUUACACGAGGCCCUAUACAUUGAAUGACCAAUCAAAACUCUCUGCCAUGAGACAUGUGAAUAUCCGCCUCAUGUCUUCUACAAGUUGCCUUUAUAUUGCCAUUUUAUUUCACAACAUGGGAGCUACAAUAAUCGUGAUGGCAUAAAAAGGUCGUUAAAGACGUGCCGAUUUGAAUGCACUUUUGACAAAACCUUAAUAAAUGCACGGGGGGCGAGCUUCCAAAGGGUCAUCAUUGUGUCUUUGUGAAGAAUAAUAUAUAUAUUAUUAUAUAUAUUAUUAUGUAUUGUCCAAAGUUUCUUUACACAGGGUUUGUAAUACAUUCGCAGAUUUUUUAAGUGCUUGUGUGACGAAUAUGUGCCAAGUCGUCGGCUUAUGGCGUGGCGCUGGUUGACAGUCCUUUCAUGGCUCAAACCUUUCUGGUUUAAACGACUAGGAAAAACUGGAAAUUGCCCCCAUAAAGUCAUUCGAUAAUAACUUUUUCUUUUUCCUCUCCUAGCUCUCCACCUUUUUU